CUGUCGAGAGCUCUCAUUUUCUCUCUCCCUCUCUCUUCCCACCACAUAUGAGGACAGAGAGAGAAAGCAGCCACAGGCCAGAAGAGCACUCUCACCAGGAACCGACCACGCCAGCAUCUCCGUCCUGGACUUCCCAGCCUCUGGAAUGGUGAAAGUUAAAUCAAGUGCUAGAGUGUCCAGUGGAUGUCACUGAAGUCCCCAGGGUCGCCCAGGCCCCCCUCUGCUUCCAAGUAAUUCAUGAAGGCAGCCAUGGCUGUGUCGUCAUGGUCACAGAGGGCAUCAAAAUCCAGCGGGGCACCUUCUCCUAUUGAAUUAAACAGGGCCAUACUCCAGAUGACCUUCCCGGACACCUAAUGACCUUCAGAGUUGGAUGAAAAAGUUCCAGAUCAGUCAACGGCAGAGGCGGCAGCUGGGUGGAUAAAUAAUUGACCCUAAUCUCUUUAUGAUUUAAAAAGUAAUCUCUUUCUUUUUUUCCCCUAGAGUCAAAGGUUUCACAGGGUGAGGGGAACAAAUUCACUUACUGGGAUGGGUCUGAAUCACUUCCUUUUCGUUUUCUUGGAAACUCGGUCACAUGUGGGUUGAAGGAUCCGACAGCUGUUGGUUUUGUCCACGGGCUCUGAUGACCGGAAACCAUGGAAGCAACACACUGAUUCUCUUGGAUCAACACUUUACCUAUGAGACAGAAAGCGCAAGAAGGCAUCUGUUUGAAACAUGAACUUUUACUUUACACAUAUCCUCAUCACACAUUUUAAAUGGCUUUCUACUUUGAUACUUUUUAAAUGUCAACUAAAUAACAACAUAACAUAAGAAAGACUAAAUAUACAUACCCAAAUAUUAGUUAGAAAUGUAUUUGGUCGUCUAUAUUUUUAAGUUUAUUUUCCCCAUCUAAUUGUAAGAAACAGACCUGAAUAUUGCAGGAAAUAUGGAAAACACAAAAAAAGUAGAAAGGGCAGGGGGAAACCAAAUUUCUCCAACCAACAUUACUAUUUAGAAAUACUUCCUUUUGAAUUUUUUCUAUAGUUGUCAUUAUAGAAGUUAAAAUCAUAGUGUAUAUUCUGUUAUUUAUAUAUCAUUAUGAUAAUAACUUUACAGUGUUGUUACUACAAAUUCUUUAUAAAUGAUCCCAAUGGUUGCAUAACACACCAUCAUGUAUCUGUGGCAUAGUUACGUAACAAUCCUUCUAUGGUUGGAAUCUAUGUUUGUUUUUAUUUUUUCACCAUUAUAAAUGUGUAUUUUGCUUUUAUCUAUAUGUAUAAAGCUUUUUAUCUACUGGUUA